AAUUGCCUGCGGUGUACGCAAGGAAAGUAUGUUGUUCCACGUUAAUAAAUAAGGGAACUUGCCGUUUUUAUAGCAACGCGUAUUCCUAAGAAACUGCCUUUUGCGUUUCUACUUUUUAUGGGAAAGUCUAAACUAUAAAACGAAGUACCCACCUCUACAAACAGGGGUAAAUAAUUUUUCCAUAACGGCACAGGCGGGUUACUU
rnacentral:other from 1 species